rnacentral:rRNA from 1 species
CAGCCGCCGCGGGAAUACGUAGGUGGCAAGCGUUGUCCGGAAUUAUUGGGCGUAAAGGGCUCGCAGGCGGUUUCUUAAGUCUGAUGUGAAAGCCCCCGGCUCAACCGGGGAGGGUCAUUGGAAACUGGGAAACUUGAGUGCGGAAGAGGAGAGUGGAAUUCCACGUGUAGCGGUGAAAUGCGUAGAGAUGUGGAGGAACACCAGUGGCGAAGGCGGCGACCUGGUCUUUAACUGACGCUGAGGCGCGAAAGCGUGGGGAGCAAACAGGAUUAGAGACCCCCGUAGUCCCUGUCUCUUAUAC